rnacentral:lncRNA from 1 species
CUGGUUCUGGUUGGGCCAGGGGUGCGAAGGAAGUUGAUAAUGGACCUACAGUUUCAAACAGAGUGAACCUAUCGAAACUAUCCGGGCUAGUUGCAUCUAGGACUUUAUUGUCAGAAGAUCAGGAGCCAAAACCAGUUCCCUCCUUUCCCUACAGAAAAUCAAUUGAAGUAAGAAAAUCCGUCGAGGCGACUAAUGGAUCAGAGUCAAGAAGAAGGCGGGAUAAAAAACGUAUUGUUGAUCAAAGUCAAAUUGUAAAUAGAAGAGUCCCAACUGAAAAAUCAACUCCGGUUAGUUAUUAUAGUUGUUACUAAUUAUUAUUUAUUUCUUGUUUUUGUUUUUUGUUUACCAAUUAUCAAAUUUUUGGUAGCGAAAACCUUCCCUUGCUUCUAUAAGGAUUCGGAUCCUCUCGUGUUACACGAGCAACUCUCAUGUUAUAUUUAAAACCACGAUUGUCUUUAUCUUUGCUGAAUAAUUGAAUAAUGAACAACGAUUUGGGGCUGUAUUUUCAGGAUGGACAUGGAUCUAGUGGAAACAAGAUAUACAUGUCAGGUCCAUUACUGGCUUCAAACAAUAUGGAUCAGAUGCUCAAAGACCAUGAUCGUAAGAUCCAAGAGUUUUCAAGACGAGCAAGAGGUGAUAAAGUCCGUGCACAGAGAAAGUAGUUACAAAUUACUUAAAAUAUUUCUGAUUCGGCAGCUGCAUACGGUAUUUUUAUGAUAACAUUUAUUUAUCUCUCAAAACUUGAGAGAAACAAGUCAAGAGUAGUGGAGAGUGCAUUCACUCUUACUGUAACAUAUAUCAUGUAAAUUGCAGGCUCUAUAACAACAAAUUUAUCUUUUACUAUUCAUGUUUCAACCAUAUACAAAUACAAAAUAAUAUAAACAAUUUACUAUGGUAGCUGUUCGUGAAAUCACGGUGCCAACUUAGUUUUCAACUACUGGUUGUCCCUAAGUUUGGUUUCUACAUCACCAAACACAAUUAUUCUGGUUUUUCAUUUGUUGGUAGAUAGGAAAAAGUUGAACUAGAUAUUUGGGGCGUUGGCAUUUGAUUUGUUUUUAUUUUAGCUGAAGAAAUGCAAUUUCAAACUUGAAAAUGAUAUUGAUCUGUUUAAAAUUAAAAUUAAUUCAAAGCCAUAGGGAUAUUUCAGGAAAGAUGCUGCAGCUUAAUAUAACAAGAGCAGAUUAUUAUUUAUUCACCAUUAGAAUAAGCAGUAUUUUCUAUAAGAAACUUCUUUAUUUAAGCUUGGCGAAAUUAUGUUUGUCGUCCCCUAAGUUCGACAAUUUUCUCAUAUAGGUCCUUUAAUUUUUUUUCUUCUCAAAUUGAUCGUUUAUGUUACAUUCUGAUUGCACUGGCAGCCAUCUCUCCCAUCUUAAUAACGACCAGAGCAACUGAAAGCAUAUGGUCAUUAGGGUCUGUCUCUGCUCACCCCUGCACUAAUCCCCCCCUCCAAAUAAUAAUUUUUUAGAAAAACAUCCAUGAAGUCCAAUAAACGAUCUACUUUUUUUUUUAGUUUACAAAUUACAAUGUCAUUGACCUCCUUCACUUGCAAAGUUGCUCAACUGAUUUGGUUUGAGUUAAGGGAUAAAAAGUUGGAUAUGUCGUGACUUCAAACUCGGACAAAAUAGUAAAUAUCAAAAGAAAACUUGACCAUGCUAUUGAGGUUAGACCCACUUCAUAACAGUAAUUCGGAAAAUUUAAUAUAAAGGACCGAUUCAGGAAAAAGAAAAAUUUGAAGGACUAAUCCAAAAAAGCUCUAAAUUGCAUGCAUAAUUUUGCUUUUAAACUAUUAUUUCACAUAUGAUCUGAAAUUUUGAUGAAAUUAAAAAACAAAAGAUUUGUAGAACUCAUUGUUUAAGCAACAAGGAAGAUAAUUUUAAGGACUUAUUGGUGUCAAUAUGACCUAAUUAUAUAUUUUUGAUCCAGUAACAUUUAUAAAUAUGAAUUCUAUCACAACAAACAACUGGUAUUUUAUUGGCAAUAAUACCUUAGGUAAAAGUUGAGUACACAAGGAUCGUUGAGGCAGAUCUUACCUGAUGCAGUAAAGCAUAAUCAAUUAAUCACGCCAUAAAUUGACUAGAUAUCUGCUAGAGUUGCAUCAUGUUUUCCUUUGUUUGGCUAGCCAUCUACUUAAUUCAGACGGUGCUCAAAUUUAAAGUUAUUAUUCAUGAGGAAAUGUUAAGAAUACUCUUUUCUAACUUUCUCCCUUCAACUCAUUUUUUUUAUGGGAAAUGUUAACAAAUGCUAUUAGGGCAUUGUUUUAACUUUAAAUAGUAAGUUUUUGUUAAAGUUUAUGAAAUCAAUGCAUUGUAAAUUGGAGUUUUUGACUUUUUUAAAGAAUAAUUUCUGUAAAAAAAAAAAAAAAAAAAAAA